rnacentral:rRNA from 1 species
UACGUAGGGUGCAAGCGUUAAUCGGAAUUACUGGGCGUAAAGCGUGCGCAGGCGGUUAUGUAAGACAGAUGUGAAAUCCCCCGGGCUCAACCUGGGAACUGCAUUUGUGACUGCAUAGCUAGAGUACGGUAGAGGGGGAUGGAAUUCCGCGUGUAGCAGUGAAAUGCGUAGAUAUGCGGAGGAACACCGAUGGCGAAGGCAAUCCCCUGGACCUGUACUGACGCUCAUGCACGAAAGGCGUGGGGAGCAAACAGG